CCAGCGAGUAAUGUCGGGAACUCUAGCCAGACUGCCGGUGCAAACCGUGAGGAAGGUGGGGAUGACGUCAAAUCAUCACGGCCCUUACGUCCUGGGCCACACACGUGCUACAAUGGUAGGGACAGAGAGCAGCCACUUCGCGAGAAGGAGCGAAUCUAUAAACCCUAUCACAGUUCGGAUCGUAGUCUGCAACUCGACUACGUGAAGCUGGAAUCGCUAGUAAUCGCAUAUCAGCCAUGAUGCGGUGAAUACGUUCCCGGGCCUUG
rnacentral:rRNA from 13 species